GUAGGUGGCAAGCGUUGUCCGGAAUUAUUGGGCGUAAAGCGCGCGCAGGCGGUCCUUUAAGUCUGAUGUAAAAGCCCACGGCUCAACCGUGGAGGGUCAUUGGAAACUGGGGGACUUGAGUACAGAAGAGGAAAGCGGAAUUCCAAGUGUAGCGGUGAAAUGCGUAGAGAUUUGGAGGAACACCAGUGGCGAAGGCGGCUUUCUGGUCUGUAACUGACGCUGAGGCGCGAAAGCGUGGGGAGCAAACAGGAUUAGAUACCCUGGUAGUCCACGCCGUAAACGAUGAGUGCUAAGUGUUAGGGGGUUUCCGCCCCUUAGUGCUGCAGCUAACGCAUUAAGCACUCCGCCUGGGGAGUACGGCCGCAAGGCUG
rnacentral:rRNA from 1 species